rnacentral:rRNA from 1 species
CCUACGGGUGGCUGCAGUGGGGAAUAUUGCACAAUGGGCGCAAGUCUGAUGCAGCCAUGCCGCGUGUGUGAAGAAGGCCUUCGGGUUGUAAAGCACUUUCAGCGGGGAGGAAGGCGUUAAGGUUAAUAACCUUGUCGAUUGACGUUACCCGCAGAAGAAGCACCGGCUAACUCCGUGCCAGCAGCCGCGGUAAUACGGAGGGUGCAAGCGUUAAUCGGAAUUACUGGGCGUAAAGCGCACGCAGGCGGUCUGUCAAGUCGGAUGUGAAAUCCCCGGGCUCAACCUGGGAACUGCAUUCGAAACUGGCAGGCUAUAGUCUUGUAGAGGGGGGUAGAAUUCCAGGUGUAGCGGUGAAAUGCGUAGAGAUCUGGAGGAAUACCGGUGGCGAAGGCGGCCCCCUGGACAAAGACUGACGCUCAGGUGCGAAAGCGUGGGGAGCAAACAGGAUUAGAUACCCGGGUAGUC